ACCACUAGUUGUAUAUGAAUGACUGUCCCACUGGUGGUUCAGAGCGGCCUACCAGCAAGACAUACAAAUUAUGACCCCACUGUGAACAUGUUAAGAAAACUGCAGCUCUGGACAUAAAGUUACCUAAGGUUACAAUGCUUUCUCUCUUUUUUCAGGAAACUUACUCCAAGAAUUUCUAAGGGUCUUAGAAGUAUAAUAAGACUGUAAAUUAGGCCUGUGUUUUUUACCUGGAAAGUGAGCCUGUGUUUCCCCGCAUACUACAGAUUCACAAAUGCUAAAGACUGCCAUCUUCAAGGAAUCAGCUACAGAGGAAAUAUACACGGGAGAUCUUGGAGAUGCACAUUAUUUUAGGACAUCAUGCAUCACUCAGUGUAUAGCCCCAAAAUGUCACCAUAGCGUAUAUUUUACAAAACUGGAACUGAUUCAAAACAGAAAUUUUUUUCUUUAAUCAAUGUUGAUUUUUCUAAUUCAGGGCCUGUCCUCAGUGUACAUUAAAGAGUGUAAAGACAUGGUCUCAAAUUUGACUUGUUUGAAACAAUAAGAGAAAAUGAACAAAGAUUCUAUCUGGCAAUCUGUAGCUCUUCUCUUUCCCCUUCUAACUCUUUUAUCAGUUUAAUUCUGUAACGUUAGACUAACUAUAGAGUGCUAUAAAAAUUGUUAUGAUUUAUGAAUUGGUACAGCCAAGGAAGCAUUCUGACUACUUUACUUGUAAUUUAAACUACAAAAAAAUGAACUAUUACAUUCCAAAUGACCAAUGCAUCUAGAAGUGCACUUUGACUUAAUGCAAUUGUUUUAUGUGUCACAUAAGUUCGUUUCUGGGUUUUUUGAUUUUUUUUUUUUUUUUUUGGUCUUUCUUCUAAGUGUUUUUUGUAAUAACUGGCUAAAGUGUCUACACUGCUCCAUUUACUACAUUGUUUUAAAACUCAACUGAUUUUGGUUUUUUCCUUUUAAAAAUAUUUAUAGACAGCUGGCUUAAUGCUUCGAUUUCUUACUAAACAAAACAAAAACAAUUAUACAGAUAUUCAAGAGCUAACAAAUCUGCUUGGGAUUAAGAAAACAAGAAAAUUCAACAGAGGUCUCUUUAAAACCUAGUCACUGUUACAGGAUUAUUGGAUUCCACUUGCAAAUAAAAUCUAUAAAAUUUGGUAAUAUCAGGGUUAUAUACAUAUGAUAUUGGUUAAUGUACAGAUUGUUCUGUUUACUAACCUUUAAAAAAUUAUUUAAAAAAUGAGAAAAGGAAAGAAUGGAAACAAAGCUUUUGUAAAUAGAGAGGGAAAGAGGCAUUGGGGGGGGGGGAAGCAAGAUAUAUCACGCACAGGUACAAAUUCCCUAUGUUGAAUGUGAUCAUUACAUGUACAUAAUAUGUAUCAAUAAAUUUAAAAAUAAACAGAUUCUGCUAAAAUCCCAAAAAUUCACUUUAAAUUGGCUUACAGAUAAUUAACCCAAAUGCCUUCUAUUCACAUGACCUAAAUAAAUCUUUAGCAAACAAAUUAAAUUAAAUUGGUUGAUAAAAGUAAAUAUUAUCUUUAAAACUGUUAACACAGCCAAUUGUGAUGGCACCUGUUUGUAAUCCCAGCAUUUGGGAAGCAGAGGCAGACUGCCUCAAGCUUAAGGCCAGUCUGGGUUGCAUAGUGAGUUCAAGGCCAGUCUGAAAUACACAGCGAGACACUGUCGCUAAAAGAAAAAGAAAAUGAAAGAAAGAAAGAAAAGAAUACUCUUAGUUUCUUGAGAUCUAUAAAAUACACUAUACUAUAUCUGGGUUUUCAGAGUUAUUAAUAAUGUAAAAUGGAAAGGCUUAAGAUUAUAUUCUUCAUAAGGUUAUCGAGUUAAAUGUAUAAUACUACAUAAAAGAUUAUUGCAUACUACUAAGUUGGUUAUAAUUAAAAGUUUAAAGAGUUCUUUAUGUUUAAAGCAAUAAGGUUUCCUACUAAAAAUAUUGAUGUGCUCAUCAAUGUGUUCUUGCUAAAAAUUUACAACUACCUCAGGAAAGAAAGGUUUUACUUUUUAUCAAGAUAAUUUCUUACGUUUUCUGCUGUUAGGAUUUUAAUUUUUUAUGAAAUUGAGUUUAAGAGAGUCAAAUGUCAUUCAGGUGUUUCUUUUUUGUAAAGUCUUAAGUGAUCAAUUUAUAACUGGUCAAAUAAACAAUUCUUUUAGAUUACA